CGGCCGCCGAGAACCGCAGCGCCGCUCGCCCGCCGCCCCCCACCCCGCCGCCCCGCCCGGCGAAUUGCGCCCCGCGCCCCUCCCCUCGCGCCCCCGAGACAAAGAGGAGAGAAAGUUUGCGCGGCCGAGCGGGGCAGGUGAGGAGGGUGAGCCGCGCGGGAGGGGCCCGCCUCGGCCCCGGCUCAGCCCCCGCCCGCGCCCCCAGCCCGCCGCCGCGAGCAGCGCCCGGACCCCCCAGCGGCGGCCCCCGCCCGCCCAGCCCCCCGGCCCGCCAUGGGCGCCGCGGCCCGCACCCUGCGGCUGGCGCUCGGCCUCCUGCUGCUGGCGACGCUGCUUCGCCCGGCCGACGCCUGCAGCUGCUCCCCGGUGCACCCGCAACAGGCGUUUUGCAAUGCAGAUUGAUCAGGGCCAAAGCGGUCAGUGAGAAGGAAGUGGACUCUGGAAACGACAUUUAUGGCAACCCUAUCAAGAGGAUCCAGUAUGAGAUCAAGCAGAUAAAGAUGUUCAAAGGGCCUGAGAAGGAUAUAGAGUUUAUCUACACGGCCCCCUCCUCGGCAGUGUGUGGGGUCUCGCUGGACGUUGGAGGAAAGAAGGAAUAUCUCAUUGCAGGUGUGCCGAGGGGGACGGCAAGAUGCACAUCACCCUCUGUGACUUCAUCGUGCCCUGGGACACCCUGAGCACCACCCAGAAGAAGAGCCUGAACCACAGGUACCAGAUGGGCUGCGAGUGCAAGAUCACGCGCUGCCCCAUGAUCCCGUGCUACAUCUCCUCCCCGGACGAGUGCCUCUGGAUGGACUGGGUCACAGAGAAGAACAUCAACGGGCACCAGGCCAAGUUCUUCGCCUGCAUCAAGAGAAGUGACGGCUCCUGUGCGUGGUACCGCGGCGCGGCGCCCCCCAAGCAGGAGUUUCUCGACAUCGAGGACCCAUAAGCAGGCCUCCAACGCCCCUGUGGCCAACUGCAAAAAAAGCCUCCAAGGGUUUCGACUGGUCCAGCUCUGACAUCCCUUCCUGGAAACAGCAUGAAUAAAACACUCAUCC
rnacentral:lncRNA from 1 species